AAAUCAAGUAUUGAAUCUUUUGUUUAUAAACGCGUUCAUCCUGUCUGUCCAGAAAUUUGUAAAGUGUUUCACGUACCAACUAGAAGGUUUCCUUAAACUCAGAAAUUAAUAAAAAUAAAAUCCAAACAUUACCGCAUUGUGACCAAUUAUUCGAAUAUGAUCUUCGGAGCAACAAGAACCCUUAGUCCUUUCCGCAAACUUUGAAAGCCCUUUGUGAUUGGAUUCUGGAUAACUAUCACAUCUGGCGUACUGCUCGCAACAUGAGUCGAUCGUGUACGGACGAAUUGAAUUUGCUUAAAUCGUGGCCUCGAGAUUCAAACAUCGGUUUACUGGUUACGGUUCUUUCCUUACUGAUCUAGGAUAGAACGAUUUAAAAGUAAUGGCACAACAAGAAAAGCAUCGUUUUUGCGAGUUGUUCAAUGGGGAUACAAGCACUUAUCAGUACCAUUUGUUGCGUCAUACGGAUAACACGCGACAUAUGCCAGUUUCAAUACAUCUGUGGAUGGUCUGGAAAUGGACAGUACAGUUCAUUUAUGCAGGAUCGGAUCUACGUAUGAUGCUGAUGACAAAAAUGAACCGGAUUCGCAGUUUUUCCACAGAGACGACAUGACAGCAGACAUGAGAAUGCAGUGAUGUUGCUUGAAUGACCAUAUUCCAUACAUAACUCAAAGAUUCAAACCGUACCAAGGCGGCUAGUGUUCCAAGAGGGAUGGAAAUGCGAACAUAUAAAUAUUUAUCCAUGAAGAAUUGCUAGUUCAGAUCAUUCAAGUCCAAUGAAAAUCCCAUAUCCGCAGUUUGUGUACAAUAUCGAUCACCAUGAUAUAAGACAACUGUAACUUAUAAAAAAAGCGUUGUGUUGCAGCAGCAGAAGACUGUACCAAAUUCCGGUAAUCUGCUAUCACGUCGGACGAAAUGCAAAGCAACUUUGUCGUAAGAUUCCUUUGGAUUCUUCAGUUAGCUGACCCUAGACAACAAAACCACUUUUUUUUUGAAUAUAUGAAUAUACAAGCUC